rnacentral:rRNA from 1 species
ACGGCUCAGUAACACGUAGGUAACCUACCCUUCGGACGGGCACAACCCCGGGAAACUGGGGCUAAUUCCCGAUAGGUACCCCCUUCUGGAAUGUGGGGAUAUCCAAAGCUCCGGCGCCGAAGGAUGGGCCUGCGGCCGAUUAGGUUGUUGGCGGGGUUACAGCCCACCAAGCCGACGAUCGGUACGGGCAGUGAGAGCUGUAGCCCGGAGAUGGGGACUGAGACAAGGCCCCAGGCCCUACGGGGCGCAGCAGGCGCGAAACCUUCACAAUGCACGAAAGUGUGAUGAGGGUACUCCGAGUGCGCAUACAUUGUAUGUGCUUUUCUGCAGCGUAAAUAGUUGCAGGAAUAAGGGCUGGGCAAGACCGGUGCCAGCCGCCGCGGUAACACCGGCAGCCCUAGUGGUGGCCGCCUUUAUUGGGCCUAAAGCGUCCGUAGCCGGACAGGCGAGUCUUUGGGUAAAUCCUACGUCUUAAGCGUGGGAAUUCUAAAGAUACUACCUGUCUUGAGGCCGGGAGAGGCUGGAGGUACUCCUGGGGUAGGGGUAAAAUCCUAUAAUCCUGGGGGGACCACCGAUGGCGAAGGCAUCCAGCUGGAACGGGCCUGACGGUGAGGGACGAAACCCAGGGGAGCGAGCCGGAUUAGAUACCCGGGUAGUCCUGGGCGUAAAUGAUGUGGGCUUGGUGUGAGCGCAUCGACGAGGUGCGCUUGUGCCGUAGGGAAGCCGUUAAGCCCACCGCCUGGGGAGUACGGUCGCAAGGCUGAAACUUAAAGGAAUUGGCGGGGGAG